UGGGUUGUGGCUCACUGGUAGAGCGUUUAACUAGCAUGUAAGGCCCUGGGUUCAAUUCUCAGCACCAUAU
rnacentral:tRNA from 1 species